GGCUCGGUAGCUCAGCUGGUUAGAGCGCUGGCCUGUCACGCCAGAGGUCGAGGGUUCGAGCCCCUUCCGAGUCG
rnacentral:tRNA from 2 species